rnacentral:ncRNA from 1 species
AGGUUUCGCGCACCAGCGGAUCGGCGAAGUUGGCCAGUUGGAACGGGUCGAAAUAGCCGCCCGGGUUGGCCGUCAUCCAGCUGUAGAUGCGGGACGAGCCCAGCCAUUGCAGCAGCAGGUAGGACGCCUCGGGGUGGUCGGAUUGCGAGGACACGCAGGCGGUCAGGUUCAGCCACAGCACGGUGCGGGCGGAAAUGCCGUCGUCAUGCUCGCGGCCCGGCGGCAGGUGGGUGCCG